rnacentral:rRNA from 1 species
UAAUACGUAGGCAGCGAGCGUUGUUCGGAGUUACUGGGCGUAAAGAGUGUGUAGGCGGUUUGCCAAGUCUGGUGUGAAAUCUCCCGGCUUAACUGGGAGGGUGCGUCGGAUACUGGCAGGCUAGAGUGUGGGAGAGGGAAGCGGAAUUCCUGGUGUAGCGGUGAAAUGCGUAGAUAUCAGGAGGAACACCUGUGGUGUAGACGGCUUCCUGGACCACUACUGACGCUGAGACACGAAAGUGUGGGGAGCAAACAGGAUUAGAUACCCUGGUAGUCCACACCCUAAACGAUGCAAACUUGGUGUAGGCAGUUCAGUCUGUCUGUGCCGGAGCUAACGCGUUAAGUUUGCCGCCUGGGGAGUACGGUCGCAAGGCUG